GUUUGUUUUGGGUGACUUUGAAUUUGUGAAAUAAAAUAGGUGCUACUUUUUAAAAAAUAUCAUUAGUUUGGUAAUAGAUCUAUGGUUAAAAUUAUAAGGGUUUUUAGAUACAUAUGUGUUCAAUAUAUACUGUAAUUUUGAGCUCAAAAUUAAUUAGUAAAUUAAUCUACUAAUUAUAGUAAUUAAUAAGAGAAUUGAAUUGAUGAUUAUUGAGGUUUAAGUGCAUUAAGAUCUCAAAAAAUAGAGUUUUAGAUAUAGUGAGAGUUUC
rnacentral:lncRNA from 1 species